UACAGAGGUCCCAAGCGUUGUUCGGAUUUACUGGGCGUAAAGGGUGCGUAGGCGGGUUUUUAAGUCAGAGGUGAAAUCCUGGAGCUCAACUCCAGAACUGCCUUUGAUACUGAGAAUCUUGAGUUCGGGAGAGGUGAGUGGAACUGCGAGUGUAGAGGUGAAAUUCGUAGAUAUUCGCAAGAACACCAGUGGCGAAGGCGGCUCACUGGCCCGAUACUGACGCUGAGGCACGAAAGCGUGGGGAGCAAACAGG
rnacentral:rRNA from 1 species